AUUGUGUAGUGCGAUGUGGGGACGGAUCUUAAUAGGUCAUCCGGGUGUUGGAUAUCCCGGUUUAGGCAGAUGUAGGCGACAGGUAGGCAAAUCCGCCUGUCAUAUACCGAGGCUGCCGAUCGAGCGAGCUUGCUCGCGAUUGAUUGAACGAGGUUCCAGGAAAAGCCACUAAGCUUCAGCUACACACGACCGUACCGCAAACCGACACUGGUGCGCGAGAUGAGUAUUCUAAGGCGCUUGAGAGAACUCGGGAGAAGGAACUCGGCAAAUUGACACCGUAACUUCGGAAGAAGGUGUGCCCUAUUAGUGUGAAGUGAACAACGGAGCAUGAAUGGGUUGCAAAAAAUCGGUGGCUGCGACUGUUUAUUAAAAACACAGCACUCUGCAAACACGAAAGUGGACGUAUAGGGUGUGACGCCUGCCCGGUGCUGGAAGAUUAAAUGAUGGGGUGCAAGCUCUUGAUUGAAGUCCCAGUAAACGGCGGCCGUAACAAUAACGGUCCUAAGGUAGCGAAAUUCCUUGUCGGGUAAGUUCCGACCUGCACGAAUGGCGUAACGAUGGCCACACUGUCUCCUCCCGAGACUCAGCGAAGUUGAAAUGUUUGUGAUGAUGCAAUCUCCCCGCGGAAAGACGGAAAGACCCCAUGAACCUUUACUGUAGCUUUGUAUUGGACUUUGAACAGAUCUGUGUAGGAUAGGUGGGAGGCUUUGAAGCAGGGUCGCUAGAUCUUGUGGAGCCAACGUUGAAAUACCACCCUGGUGUGUUUGAGGUUCUAACCUAGGUCCAUUAUCUGGAUCGGGGACAGUGCAUGGUAGGCAGUUUGACUGGGCGGUCUCCUCCCAAAGCGUAACGGAGGAGUUCGAAGGUACGCUAGUUACGGUCGGACAUCGUGACGAUAGUGCAAUGGCAUAAGCGUGCUUAACUGCGAGACUGACAAGUCGAGCAGAUGCGAAAGCAGGACAUAGUGAUCCGGUGGUUCUGUAUGGAAGGGCCAUCGCUCAACGGAUAAAAGGUACUCUCUGGAUAACAGGCUGGUACCGCCCAAGAGUUCAUAUCGACGGCGGUGUUUGGCACCUCGAUGUCGGCUCAUCUCAUCCUGGGGCUGUAGCCGGUCCCAAGGGUAUGGCUGUUCGCCAUUUAAAGAGGUACGUGAGCUGGGUUUAAAACGUCGUGAGACAGUUUGGUCCCUAUCUUCCGUGGGCGCUGCAGAUUUGAGGAAGCCUGCUCCUAGUACGAGAGGACCGGAGUGGACGCACCUCUGGUGUAUCGGUUGUCACGCCAGUGGCAUUGCCGAGUAGCUAUGUGCGGAAGAGAUAACCGCUGAAAGCAUGUAAGCGGGAAACUCGUUCCAAGAUGAGAUCUGCCGGGGCCUUGAGCCCCCUAAAGAGUCGUUCAAGACCAGGACGUUGAUAGGUCGGGUGUGGAAGCGCAGUAAUGCGUUAAGCUAACCGAUACUAAUUGCUCGUGCGGCUUGACC
rnacentral:rRNA from 1 species